rnacentral:rRNA from 1 species
AUUGAACGCUGGCGGCAGGCUUAACACAUGCAAGUCGAGCGGGGAAGGGUAGCUUGCUACCUGACCUAGCGGCGGACGGGUGAGUAAUGCUUAGGGAUCUGCCUAUUAGUGGGGGACAACAUUCCGAAAGGAAUGCUAAUACCGCAUACGCCCUACGGGGGAAAGCAGGGGAUCUUCGGACCUUGCGCUAAUAGAUGAGCCUAAGUCAGAUUAGCUAGUUGGUGGGGUAAAGGCCUACCAAGGCGACGAUCUGUAGCGGGUCUGAGAGGAUGAUCCGCCACACUGGGACUGAGACACGGCCCAGACUCCUACGGGAGGCAGCAGUGGGGAAUAUUGGACAAUGGGCGAAAGCCUGAUCCAGCCAUGCCGCGUGUGUGAAGAAGGCCUUUUGGUUGUAAAGCACUUUAAGCGAGGAGGAGGCUACUUGGAUUAAUACUCUAGGAUAGUGGACGUUACUCGCAGAAUAAGCACCGGCUAACUCUGUGCCAGCCGCCGCCGUAA